CUUAAAUUCUCUCAACGGGAUUUUGGCUUCUUCUUUUGUAGUUGCAAGUGGCACAAAAGCCACUUUAAGUUGUUUUAACAGGAAAAAUGCUUUCGAUUGAUUUCUCAGCUGACAUUUAUGUGCAUUAUGAUGUGAUUCUUAUCUCAGUGUCACAACGUGCUUCUACAUUCUUUUGCAAUUUCUCAAGCUCUCACCUCAAGAGUCUUCACAAGAUCCCAUCUACCAUGUUCUGCUGCAGCAUUCUAGCAAAGGAGGUGAAGUCCAAAUGUCUGAGGAUUACACAUGCAGAUCUAUACCAGGUGAAAAGACUGUGUAAAGGAUUGGUUCUUCUGUCUUACAUAUCACGAGUUGGCUCCCCAAAUAGGCGGACAAAAUCAUUGUUGAUAUAACAAGCUUAGUUUGAAAAAGACUUACUAUUUUUGCCAUGUAACUUUGAUGUUUUCUGCCCUCCAGCAUGCAACAUCUUCAAAACUAAUAUGCAUGCACGUAGUGAAGCCCUUAAUUGGCAUAACCCACAAAUUCUCUAUUUUCAGAUGCUUUAGGAGCAAAUCUUUAUCUAUCUUAUUUUUAGUUCUCUGGGAAUUUAGUUCUCAGUUGCUUAUAGGAAAUCUCCUCUGUCUAGUUCAACUGGUAUUUUUCUUGGUUGUGGCCUGUUAGUUUUGAAAUGUAUGUCCAUCUAAUCUGAAUAUCAAUUAGUAAGUUUCCAGAGGAAUGAUUUGAAUGAGAUAAGAAGCGCAGUGGAAAAAGAGGUAUCGGAGCUAACUGACAUUCAAAUGUUGUACAUCCCAUCUAAAUGUCAGUAAGUUUUCAGAUUAAGAACUGCACAAGCAAAAUGGGCACGGUGCCUAUUUCGCAUGAGUCAGCUGUUGUGAACUCACUACAAAGAAUGACUUGAGAGAGAAGUGCUGGGAUUUGAACUCUUGAUCUGUCAUAUGAAACAGUGCUAGAAUAUCCAGCCUAAAAGUUUAAGCUGUGAUGUGGACAGAGACAACAUGUAUAUAAGAAAACUGAGCCAUUAGGUGAGAGAGACUAUAUGUGUAUGAGACUCAUUAUGACCAUGUUUUCAGGGGAUGUUUGAUUAUAUUAAAAACAAUAUUACUACU